rnacentral:lncRNA from 1 species
CCUUAUGCAUUUCCUAUACCUUCUGCGCACAAGAAUGCCCCAACACACUGAAGUGCAUCUGCUUUUAGUCUGGCUGAGUUUCUGAAGUUUCAUUUCUGAGGAAGAACUCUGCUGUAUAACAUAGACCUGAAGCAGCCAACAGAACUGUAUGUUGGCUGAAGUACACAAUCAAGAAGCGGAAACUGUGGAAGUGAAACAUCACUGGAAAUUAUAAAAGCUGGGCAGAUAGGCUUUUUCCUCAGGGAAGAGAAAACAAAACAGAAAACCCCAACAACCUAUGCUCACAAAGAAAUUGUGCUCCUUCACCUUUAUUUUUUAAAUAGCCAAUGGUUCCUGGAGAACUCUGGGGAGCCACUGAUUACUAUUAUUUUUUGCCUGCCUGUUCCAUAUUCUGCAAAUCUUUCUCCAUAACAUUUGUGUUAUGACAAUAGGGGCAUUUGUAUGCGAGCAGGAUGUUUGUGACUUAUGAACUUGUCUGCUCCUGCUGUUCAUUCCUCACCUGAAGCCAUAACGUGCUCUCCUUAACAUCAUAAUCAUGUACACAGCAACUCAUGUUGAUGUCACAAACAAAGGCUUAUGGCUUCAGCUGAGAGAUCAGUAGGAACAGAAGGGCUCACAUAAAGAAAAGAUAGUCUACAUGCAAAUGCGUCCAUUUAAGAUGGAAAAAAAAAAACGAGUGAGAGUCAUUAAUUACAAAGUGAUAUGUUAGCUGAGUUGCAUUCUCAUGGAAUAUUUUUUUAGACUCUAUGAAGCAUUCAGUACAUCUUAAAAAUAUAAAAUAAAACACAAAAUGGUUCCAAAUUUUCACUGUUAUCUAAUUGGUACAGAUCACUGGAUUCUAGCCCACCUGCAAUCUUCUACAAAUUGGGGUUUGCCUUUUGCUUACUCCAUGAAGACGAUAGAGUCUGGCAUCGGCAAAGGGAGACAAGAAACAAAAAUGUCAGUGGUCUGCCUGUGCUUAUCUCUUACCAGUGAUGGAAGGAGCAUUGAACGACUGGUCUUCUGGCUUUGGUAUCUCAAUUUGGACCAUAAAUCCAGUGUUUACAUUUACAGCUAAAACUAACUGUGUUUCUGCAUAAAAAUGAUUUACUUUUUGUACGUGAAUAAUUAUAUGGAAAACAUUUUUUUUGUAUUCUCUGUUACAGAUCUCUGAAGCAUAAAAUCAUGUUUUGUGUAGGCAUUUCAAAAUAUUGUUAGAGAGAGCGAUGCUGCUUUUUUAUAUAAACCUUUCCAUUCUCGCCUUUAGAAUUUCAUUUUUUGUGGAUACGUAUUGCCUUGACUUUCUCUUCUGAUACAGAACUGAAAAGUCCAAUUUUUCAAGACUGAAAAAUGCCAGUAUCAAAGAAUACUUAAUGGCCUACUUAAG